rnacentral:rRNA from 1 species
GCCUACGGGGGGCAGCAGUGGGGAAUAUUGGGCAAUGGGCGCAAGCCUGACCCAGCAACGCCGCGUGAAGGAAGAAGGCCCUCGGGUUGUAAACUUCUUUUAUCAGGGACGAAACAAAUGACGGUACCUGAUGAAUAAGCCACGGCUAACUACGUGCCAGCAGCCGCGGUAAUACGUAGGUGGCAAGCGUUAUCCGGAUUUACUGGGUGUAAAGGGCGUGUAGGCGGGUCUGCAAGUCAGAUGUGAAAUCUCAUGGCUCAACCAUGGAACUGCAUUUGAAACUGUAGAUCUUGAGUGAUGGAGAG